rnacentral:rRNA from 1 species
AGAACGAACGCUGGCGGCAGGCUUAACACAUGCAAGUCGAACGCUCGUAGCAAUACGGGAGUGGCAGACGGGUGAGUAACGCGUGGGAACAUACCCUCCGGUUCGGAAUAGCUCAGGGAAACUUGGAUUAAUACCGGAUACGGCUGUGAGGCGAAAGAUUUAUCGCCGGAGGAUUGGCCCGCGUUCGAUUAGCUUGUUGGUGAGGUAACGGCUCACCAAGGCGAUGAUCGAUAGCUGGUCUGAGAGGAUGAUCAGCCACAUUGGGACUGAGACACGGCCCAAACUCCUACGGGAGGCAGCAGUGGGGAAUAUUGGACAAUGGGCGCAAGCCUGAUCCAGCCAUGCCGCGUGAGUGAUGACGGCCUUAGGGUGUAAAGCUCUUUCGCUCGGGACGAUAAUGACGGUACCGAGAUAAGAAGCCCCGGCUAACUUCGCGCCAGCAGCCGC